AUUGAACGCUGGCGGCAUGCUUUGCACAUGCAAGUCGAACGGUAACAGGCCGCAAGGUGCUGACGAGUGGCGAACGGGUGAGUAAUGCAUCGGAACGUGCCCAGUCGUGGGGGAUAACGCAGCGAAAGCUGCGCUAAUACCGCAUACGAUCUAUGGAUGAAAGCGGGGGACCGUAAGGCCUCGCGCGAUUGGAGCGGCCGAUGUCAGAUUAGGUAGUUGGUGGGGUAAAGGCUCACCAAGCCAACGAUCUGUAGCUGGUCUGAGAGGACGACCAGCCACACUGGGACUGAGACACGGCCCAGACUCCUACGGGAGGCAGCAGUGGUGAAUUUUGGACAAUGGGCGCGAGCCUGAUCCAGCAAUGCCGCGUGCAGGAAGAAGGCCUUCGGGUUGUAAACUGCUUUUGUACGGAACGAAACGGCUCUGGUUAAUACCUGGGGCUAAUGACGGUACCGUAAGAAUAAGCACCGGCUAACUACGUGCCAGCCGCCGCCGUAAAAC
rnacentral:rRNA from 1 species